rnacentral:tRNA from 1 species
GGAGGCAUAUGUUAAUGGUAAACAGCUUGACUCCAAAUCAAGUAUCCUUGGUUCGAUUCCAAGUGUCUCCACCA